GUUGCCCGAGUUGUAAUCUAGAGAAAUGUUUUCCGUGCCGGCCCAUGUACAAGUCCCUUGGAACAGGGCGUCAUAGAGGGUGAGAAUCCCGUCCUUGACAUGGACCCCCGGUGCUUUGUGAUACAUUUUCAACGAGUCGAGUUGUUUGGGAAUGCAGCUCAAAAUGGGUGGUGAAUUCCAUCUAAAGCUAAAUAUUGGCGAGAGACCGAUAGCGAACAAGUACCGUGAGGGAAAGAUGAAAAGCACUUUGGAAAGAGAGUUAAACAGUACGUGAAAUUGUUGAAAGGGAAACGAUUGAAGUCAGUCAUGCUCUUUGGUAUUUAUAUCAUUGAGUGGGGUCAACAUCAGUUUUGAUCGAUGGAUAAAGGCACUAGGAAUGUAGCACUCUCGGGUGAACUUAUAGCCUAGCGUCAUAUACAUUGAUUGGGACUGAGGAACGCAGCAUGCCUUUAUGGCCGGGA
rnacentral:rRNA from 1 species